rnacentral:lncRNA from 1 species
CUGCCUCUUGACCUGAUGCCUGACCUGCCCUUGGAUGCCCAGGAUAUGAAAGAUUUCUGCCCGAGUCUGCCCUGGUCUCCUUUCUUCCACUCUGAGCCCAUCUCCAUGCCCACAUUAGUAAGCCUGAGCUUAUGGUCCAAUGGAUGGAUUUUGAACCAUCCCCAACACAUCCUCAGUCCUGCUCUUCCCAGUAAGCCCCGAGAGCACCGUCUCUGUGUUGUCCCUGCCAGUUUACAGACCUAA